CCUACGGGGGGCAGCAGUGGGGAAUAUUGCGCAAUGGGCGAAAGCCUGACGCAGCGACGCCGCGUGAGGGAUGAAGGUCUUCGGAUCGUAAACCUCUGUCAGCAGGGAAGAACGGUCACUGUGCUAAUCAGCAGUGAAUUGACGGUACCUGCAAAGGAAGCACCGGCUAACUCCGUGCCAGCAGCCGCGGUAAUACGGAGGGUGCGAGCGUUAAUCGGAAUUACUGGGCGUAAAGCGCUCGUAGGCGGUAUGUCAAGUCAAGGGUGAAAGCCCCGCGCUCAACGUGGGAACUGCAUUUGAAACUGGCAAACUGGAGUGUGGGAGAGGAUAGUGGAAUUCCAGGUGUAGGAGUGAAAUCCGUAGAGAUAUGGAGGAACAUCAGUGGCGAAGGCGACUAUCUGGCACAUAACUGACGCUGAGGAGCGAAAGCGUGGGUAGCAAACAGGAUUAGAUACCCUAGUAGUC
rnacentral:rRNA from 1 species